rnacentral:rRNA from 1 species
AACGAACGCUGGCGGCAGGCCUAACACAUGCAAGUCGAACGCUCCGCAAGGAGAGUGGCAGACGGGUGAGUAACACGUGGGAAUCUUCCUAUCGGUACGGAAUAGCUCAGGGAAACUUGAGGUAAUACCGCAUACGCCCUUCGGGGGAAAGAUUUAUCGCCGAUAGAUGAGCCCGCGUCUGAUUAGCUAGUUGGUGGGGUAAUGGCCUACCAAGGCGACGAUCAGUAGCUGGUCUGAGAGGAUGACCAGCCGCACUGGGACUGAGACACGGCCCAGACUCCUACGGGAGGCAGCAGUGGGGAAUAUUGGACAAUGGGCGCAAGCCUGAUCCAGCCAUGCCGCGUGAGUGGCGAAGGUCUUCGGAUUGUAAAGCUCUUUUGCCAGGGACGAUAAUGACGGUACCUGGAGAAUAAGCCCCGGCUAACUUCGUGCCAGCCGCCGCGGUAAGAC